AAAUCACAAUUUACUUAAUUGCUAUCUAACAAUGUUUUAGCUCUUCGGAAUGGCCGAGCUUUGCGUUUACCAAUUUUGUCUCUCCAACUUUUAUCCUUUUCUUUGGGUUUACUUUUAGUUUUAUCCUCUUUAUUAUCUUUAUUACCGUUGCCGUUACUACUGCCGCUGGCACUGACACUGCCACUUGUACUGACACUACUGCUAGUACUGGCACUGCCAGUUCCGCUGAUGGAACCUUUAUUACUUUCAAUUACAGAUCGCUAUUUGAAAUGUAACCCGAUGUACUUGUUGAUGCUGAUCUUUCCGACCGAGCUGACUGCUGUUGUAAACCAAGUAAAUCACUUCCAGCUAUAUUGAGUGCAUGAGGAAGAGUCAUUCGUCUAAAUCUAUUUGGUGAUUCAAUUUUAUGUAAAUCAACACUUCGAGGAUCAGCCUAGAUAAACACGCAAAAAAAGGAGAAACAAGAUAGGAUUGAUCAAUGAAACGAGUAUAAAAAAACAAAUGAAGGAAAAACUCGAAGAUUAUAAAUACUUGGAGAUGGAGUUUAAGGAGAAAUGAUUGAAAUUAAUGUUUCAUUAUUUCAUUAUCAGUAACUGAUCAAGACGGAAAGUUAAUGAUAAAAAUAACCGGGUUAACAAUCAAUAACAAGGGAACACACACACAAAAGCCUAAAUCUAUUUCUACUGUCAAGCAACUGUGAUUCCAAGUUGAACCUAUUUCAAGAUGAUAAUGCAUAUAAUUACCUGGAAAGCAAGAGCAUUCAUGAUAACAUGGUCCGGAACAACUCCCAAUGGAUGUACUUCUCUCAUCAAUACUGUGGCUGGAAUUUUGUAAAACUCGAUACACUCGAAAAAUCCAGACAUAACUUCCCUUAAAUCAGUUGAACCCGGUGAAGCAUCACAGUACCGUUGGCUCCAUGAAAGAGCAGCAUGAAAUUUGGUCAAUUCAUCGGCUUUCAACUCUUCACGUGAUAAAAUGAGGCGAACAACAUGUUCAGGUAAAAGGGCAAAAGAACCUAAACAAAGAACAUCAUUUCCAUGUUGAUCGACAAACUCGAGAACCUUUGAAAUUGGAAUAAAGGAGAAGAAGAACAAUCAAGCCAACAUUGCCAAUUGUGCAAACAAUUACACCAACAGUUGGGAAUGGAAUUGAUAAAAAUGUAAAUAUUUGAAAGAGAACCAGAAACGAGUUGAAUAUAUCAUUAUAAACAGCAACACUUUCAUUUCAACUCCCAGUUGAUUAACAUGGAUUAUCACCUUCACUAAUGAAUUCACUGAGCCAACCCUGUCAUUGGACCCGGCAAUUAAAAUGAAUAUCAACAAGAGAAUUGAAUUGUUCACAAUUUUAUUUCACUUCUCCUCCAUCUCAACAAUUUACUCAUCUAAUCAUGUUUCCAUAUUGUAGUCAAUGUGCAUUUUGUAGACAUUUUGUUUCAAUUGAUUAACUUUUCUCAUCUCA